CCUACGGGUGGCAGCAGUGGGGAAUAUUGCGCAAUGGGCGAAAGCCUGACGCAGCGACGCCGCGUGAGGGAUGAAGGUCUUCGGAUCGUAAACCUCUGUCAGCAGGGAAGAACGGUCACUGUGCUAAUCAGCAGUGAAUUGACGGUACCUGCAAAGGAAGCACCGGCUAACUCCGUGCCAGCAGCCGCGGUAAUACGGAGGGUGCGAGCGUUAGUCGGAAUUACUGGGCGUAAAGCGCUCGUAGGCGGUAUGGCAAGUCAAGGGUGAAAGCCCCGCGCUCAACGUGGGAACUGCCUUUGAAACUGGCAAACUGGAGUGUGUGAGAGGAUGGUGGAAUGCCAGGUGUAGGAGUGAAAUCCGUAGAUAUCUGGAGGAACAUCAGUGGCGAAGGCGACUAUCUGGCACAUAACUGACGCUGAGGAGCGAAAGCGUGGGUAGCAAACAGGAUUAGAUACCCCAGUAGUC
rnacentral:rRNA from 1 species